AUGGCGGACAGUUUUUAUUGGUGUUAUUUAUUAUUUAAAAAAUGAAAAAUGAUCUCGAUGAGUUUAAACCACCAAACAUAACAAUUAUUAUAGACAUCAUAUCUGGACAGUAUGUAUAUACAUUUUGUAUACUAAAACAUUUGUAGAAUAUUAUUUAGAAAUGGAGAUUUCUGUCUUCAUUUUCAAGUUUAUGGUAUCAUAUUCAGUGCGUGAACUGGUGACAAAAUAUUAUCGCCCCUGUAAACAGUGGGCUCUUCUGACUAGAGGUAAUCGGUAAAGAAUAGCGGAAAAUGGUGUACAUUGUUUACGAGCGUGAAAUGAGCUAACACAGACGAACUGAGACGUGUCAACGCAAUGUGAAUAUGAUAAUGCACCAGCGAUGGUGUGUAUGGAAGGAAGACUGUCAUAAAACCCAACAGUUCCGGAUGGCCCUUUAAAUAAUUGCUUAACAUCAAUAGCGAUGUAAGAUUCAAGUGUUUGAUUUAGCACAAGUUUAGCCAGGUUUUCCUUGUAAUUGUGGCAGAAAAACCACUAGACAGUGUCAUGCAUUGAAAGGAUAUCAUGCAAACGGAUAUUUUAUGGAAUGAUUCUCAUACAUAUAAAAUCAUAUGCAUAGGAAUGUGGAGCUAGUGUCUUUCAUGCAGCAAUUUUUAAUUUCCAAUAUAAACUCUGAAAAGACAAGAGCAUAGAAAUGUAUACCAAUGAGAAACAUUCUUUGUGAAUAAAAUCAUUCCAAAACUUAAA